rnacentral:tRNA from 1 species
GGUAGAAUGGCUGAGUUAAAAGUGAUAAAUUGUAAAUUUAUUUAGGAGAGUAAGUUCUCUUCUACCA